rnacentral:rRNA from 1 species
CUGAACCAGCCAAGUAGCGUGAAGGAUGACUGCCCUAUGGGUUGUAAACUUCUUUUAUACGGGAAUAAAGUGAGCCACGUGUGGCUUUUUGUAUGUACCGUAUGAAUAAGGAUCGGCUAACUCCGUGCCAGCAGCCGCGGUAAUACGGAGGAUUCGAGCGUUAUCCGGAUUUAUUGGGUUUAAAGGGAGCGUAGAUGGAUGUUUAAGUCAGUUGUGAAAGUUUGCGG